AUUUAAUUAAUAUAAUAAAUUAACAGACAUAUUGGUACGAUACUGUGCAGAUUGCAUGGCGCCUGCACUAGGAUGCCAUGCAACUUUGUGAAGCAUUCCAUAAGUAU